AGAAGCAGCUGGCAGUUUGGCUUCAAUGGGUGAUGGAGCACUGUGAGCGUCAGGUGCCCCGUGGUCUGCUCCCCAAGAGGUAGCACGCUCAUUUUUUCUCUCUUUUCUCUUCUCUCCCGGUUUUCCCUUCUUCCUUCACCCGCUCUUAUUUUUUCUGCCUGCUGCCUUUUCCCCAACAAUUCACCUCUCACUCAUUUUUUUUCCUUUCCCUUGAUCUGGGAUAUUGCUGGGUUUCUCCUCAUCUCUGACAGCUUCACAGAUACUCAUCAAGGCUCUGUACUGGCGCUGGGGAUACCAGGCUUGAACAGGGAAGGCGAGGCUCCUCUUCUUUCAAAGCUUGAAGUCCAGUGAGACCUAAAGGCUGUGGCUCCAACCAACCCCCAGGUUGGAACUGAAACUCUACCAAGAUCACACCAUCCUUUUGACCCAGAUGAUGAAGAUUUCUCUGACACAGUACAGUACCAUUUUCAUCUAUCUACUCAGCAAAGAUGAAGAAAAAUAAAGAAUGGGAAUUUUAAGUCUAUUUCUGUCGCAGGAUCCAAUAUGGGACGCUGGUGCACCCCAGCAGAGUCCAUGCCAGAAAGGGAAGACUGCGAGGUCCAUGGUGCAGAAGAAGGCUUCAGAAGAAUCCCUCCCGCUGGCCUCCAUUGUAAGGGUGCGAGUCAGUCAUGUAGCCAGGCCGCGAGGGAACUAACACAGAGCACACCAGGUGUGGUGGGGAAGAAGAGGCAAGAAGUGUGGGGAAGCUCCAAAGCGCGGAUACUUCUGGAGGAGAUCUACAGAGGAGCAUUCAUCACAAUUUGUAAGUGCGGUUGUUCUCACUUAUCCACGGUUUCAGUUACCCAAGAUGGAUAAUAGGUGAGUACAGUACAGUAAGAUACUUUGAAAGAGAGAGAUCACAUUCACACAACUUUUAUUAUAGCGUAUUUUAUAAUGUUCUAUUUUAUUAGUGGUUAUUGUUGUGAAUCACCUACUGUGCCUAAUUUAUAAACAUUAUAGGUAUGUAUAUGUAGGAAAACUAUAUAGUAUAUGAAAGGUUUGGUACUAUUUGAGGUUUCAGGCAUUCACUGGGGGUCUUGGCACGUAUCGCCGACAGAUAAAGGGGGACUACUGUAUUUAUUUGUUUAUUUAAUGUAUGUCUAUUCCUCUAGGUUAUAAAUGUUAUGAGUACCCACUAAGGGCAAAUCCUUAAUAAGUAGACUUUCAGUGAAUCACAGAAGUGGUAGCCCUUUUCAUCUUCAUAAUAAUUCUCCGAACUAAGUUUUACAGAUGAAACUAAAGAGGCUUACCACCCAAGGGGGAUGACUUUUGUACCCUGAAAUGGUGAAGUACAUACCCUGCACUGUUGUGUGUGACAAUUCUGCUCAGAAGCUCCUUGCUGUAAACCAUUUAGAAGUGGUAUUAUUUUCAAAGGAAGAGUGUCUCUCUGCUCCUCUUCCCGCCAUUGUGACAACCACGGCUGGAGGAAUUAAUAAUGAACAGAAAGUCCAAUUAGCCUCACCCAUCACAUCAGUCCUAGAGCUAAAUCCCGGUUUCUUGCAAGCCCCAAGAAAAGACUCUCCUGUUUAUAUAUCAUGUUAAUAAUUAAUUGAUUAGUUAAUCAACAAGCUAGUCCUGUAAGAUUGUCCUGUCCUCUUUGACCCUCUGCGUCCUGGUCAGGGUCAGUG
rnacentral:lncRNA from 13 species